rnacentral:tRNA from 1 species
UGCCCUAUGGUGUAAUGGUCAACACGCUGCUCUCUAAAAGCGGAUUUCUCAGUUCGAGUCUGAGUGGGGCGA